AACACCAUAAAAAAAUUACUAGGAAAACAAUUCAAAACUUUGAUCAAAACCCACAAAAGAUAUCAAUCAAAGAAGCAGUCUUUAAUAAAAAAGGGAAUGAGAAGGAGACCUGGUAUUGGUGGGUUAAAAACAGCUGCUGCUGCAAGGGUAACUACUGUUUCUUCUGUUGGAUUAUUGAUUCAUCGGUUUCCAUUUGGUUAUUUAUUAAUGCUCAAUAUAAACAGUUUCCGAGUUUUUGCUUUUCAUUUCUUGAAAUGGUAUUGAAGGAUCAAUAUCGGAUACUUGGAGAAAAUGGAGCAAGAUUAAAAACUGAUCUUAUGAAAGAACAGCUUGCCACUUUUCGUUCUCAGCUUGAAGAAUUUGCCCGCUAACACAAGGUCAGCUGAUGAAUUUCUGUGUUAUAUCAACGAACUUUACCGUUUGGAGAUAAAAAGUUCGGAUUUUUAAUACUAAAGUUGUGAAUUUUAGAGGUGUUUAUUUCUGUUACGGUAAGAAAGAUGAGUUCCCGUGUGCUUCUUUGAUAUUUUUUUACUGGCCCAGUUGCUAAUUUUGUAAAACUUUAUCGGGUUUUUUUACUGGCCCGGUUGCUUCUUUGAUUUAUAGUUCUCAAAUUAACCUUUGGUUUUGAUGAUGAUACACUGAUGUACAAGGUUUGUAGAACAAUUUUGAUCAGUUCACUCAGAAAUACAGAAAUUAUUAAUGGUGCGGUGUUUAUGGAAAGCAAGGGCCAGGUUGCUAUCCCUGUGGUACCAGAAAAGUGCAGUUAGUGCCUUCGGGUAGCGUUGAUGUUUAGUUAUUCUCUUGAGAUAGAAAAGAUAAAGAUUGAAGGGAUAGAACAAACAUGUUUUUCUAUUGGUUUUGAAAAGGAAAUUCACUUUAAAAUUAUGCCUUUCAUGUUUUUAUUUCAUUCUUUUUCAACUAAAGAUGCUGUGUCUUUUCUGUAUAUAUUUAUUCUGUCAAAUGCAAUCUUAGAUAUGAAUUAUCUUGUCAGUGGCCCUGGCUAUGUUCUUACUUUUUUUUUCAUUAUUUUGUUUUUGUUGCAUUAAAUGGUUAAUUUAGUUGGAAGCUAAUUUUAAUUUUUUCUGAUGUACUAGAUUCAUACGAGGGUCUAUUCUAGAAUUUGUUUUAGAAAAUAUUUAACCUCAGUUAUUCAUAAACUAAUCUGAAGACAUGUAGGAAUCCCGUAUAUAUGGAGGUUUAUUGAAUUAAAUUAAAAUUAAAAAAACCUAAAAAACUAGAAGUGAAGGAGAAGUUCUUGUAUCCAGGAUUAGUGAAAUGAUAAAAUUUUCCUUGAUUAAAAAAAAAAUUUACAAAUUGUUUUUUAUAAAUUAUAAACGGUUAGAAUAGUGAUUUUAAUUUUUAUUGUGCAAUAAAAUUAUUAAUUUAACACUAGAAUAAAUUAAUAUAAUGUUUACUACCUGAGGAAAAGAUAGCAAUAAUAUUAAAAAUGAAGAGCAAAGCAUCUCUCAAAAGCCAUGAAAACCAACUGUGCAAGUCGGCUGUGCAAGCUAAAUUGCCUCUUGUCCUGUUUCCUGACUCUUUCCAAGCUGAUGACACACUAAGCUUAAAGGAAAAGCAGAGCAGGUUCUAAGCAUUAAAAGCAUCAAAAUGAUUCUUUGGGUGCGGCCGACAGCAUUAAGCCUAAAGGAAAAACAGGUGUGCAAGACUCAAAUUUGAGUUGCGUGAGUUUUGUAAAAGUGAAUCGAAUUCCAGUUGGAUGAAUUGGAGAUUUUGUUUUUCAAAAUUAGAAUAAAAAAUUUACCACUUUGUAAGCUUUGUAACCUGUUAAUUAUAAUAAAUACCGUUGAAAGCCGAAACAGAGGGAGAGAACGUAUAAAAUCAAGAAAGUGAAGAUUUGAUGAGAAUUAAAGACAUUUGUUUGUUUUUUGGUGUUCGAAAGAUGAUAGAAUGGGUAAAGCAGCUGAACAAGGCAUUUGGGGCUUCAUUUUUAUGGCUUAUUUGCUUGAUUCAUUUCACUCAGGUUUCUUUUUCUCUCUUUUUGCCCACUUUGAUUUGAUGAUCUUUCUCUUUUUUCCUGCUUUGAUGAUUGUUGGAUCAAAUUUGAUGAGCUCUAUAGGAAGUUGAUCUGUUGGGGUUUUUGUGAAAUCGGUUGUUUUAUUUUUUGAUAAAAAGAAAGAGGAGAUGUCAGAGUUUGUAACAUUGUUGUUUUUGGUUUCUGGGUUUUUGUGGGUUUGUUGAUUUUUGAAUAUUGUAGGGGCUUUGGAAAUCCAGAUGGAACUGAUGUUCUUAAGAAAUUUCUUGUCCUUUUUUAUUUUUUGAGAAUGUUGUAGCUUGCAUGGAAUUUUGAAGUUAGCCUUUUUUGCUUUUAAGAGCAACAUUUCUCCUGAUUUUUGCUCUUAAAGAAAAUAAAACAUAAAUUAAGGUAAUGGGAAUUUGGCUCUUUGGUUUGUGCUUCUUGCAUGUGAAGGGUUUCUUUUUUGGAAGAAAAAUAAGUACUUCUAACAUGUUGCUUAAAAUUUCUAAAUUGUCCAAAGCCUUUCUAUACCAAUUGGAUGAUCUACUCUUGCAUAAUAUGUGGUGUUCUAUUAAAAUGUUACGACCUAGUUCCUCUGGGGUCUUGUUAGGAUUUUGCAAGUAAUCUUCAAGUUGCUGAUGUUUUUAUUAUUGAACAAUUUGAUGUCCAACUUAACAACGGUGUUUCUAUAACAUGUGAGUGUAGGGUUUUAGAUCCUUUGUAUGGACAGCAGUUUCGUAUCAGCUAAAAGACAAUCUUAAGCUGUCACCAUCAGCCUCACAAUUCGUGUCUUCAAUAGCAUUUUUCCCGUGGAGCAUAAAGCCAUUAUACGGGUAUGUUUCUUUGUUCUGUUCAAUUUCUUGAUAGGCCUAUGGUGCAACUUAAAGAAUGAAGGCAGAUAAGAAAAAUUUUGGUGUUGAAAUGCUCUAGUUUAUAGUGAAAGAAUCUGUUGUGUUGUAGGACAUUGGUAAUUUCCUAACGGAGUAGCUGUUUUGGCACCUUCUUUAUAUUGCCUUUGUUAAUAGUAUGUGAAAACCAAAACAGGGAUUGUAUAUGCAUUACAAAUUACAAUGUAGUACUUAUUUGGCAUUUUCUUUACUGAUGGAAAUUGAAGAAUAGUGUCCUUUUUGUUAUACAUAAUUUUUGUGUAUGUUUUUGGAAACUUAACUUGCAUCCUGCUUGCAGAAUUUUGUCUGAUUGCAUCCCGAUAAAAGGAAGGAAAAGGAUACCAUACCUAGUAAUUGCAACUCUUCUCUCUCUAGUUCCCUGGCCUAUGCUAGGCAUAGAUUCCAACUUGAGGAGUUCCCAAUGGCAUCUCACAGUCCUCUUGACAGUGCAUAACCUGGGCUCUGCCAUGGCAGAUGUUGUGGUUGAUGCAAUGAUUGCUGAGGCAGUAAGAUCUGAGAGGUUUGUGCGUGCUGUCUUUUAAAGCAAAUCUAAGCACAUUUUCACUAAUUUGGUAGUUGAGUCUUUCAUCAUUUUUAGGUACACACAAUUUAGCUACAGAUGCUCUUAGUAUUUUGUUGGUUGACAAUGCAGGAAGCAAUUGGCAUGCAACCUAACUAUCUAUUGGUGUUAACUUGGGAUUUUAUUAUAAAAAAUGUGGAUGAGUGGGAGGCUUUCCCUGUCAAUUAUUAUAUGGGCAUACCUUUCCAUAUGCCCAAGAAAUCUGGAUGGUCUGCCAUUAUGUUGUUGGAUUGUUCUCUCAAAUAGGCAAUUUAGUUAAGUUUUUUUAGAAUGUGAAAGCUUACCUGUACCAUUGAACAGGGCAUCAUUUGCUGGAGAUCUGCAGUCCAUAACUUGGUUGUCAAUGGCUGUGGGUGGAAUUUGGGGCAGUUUGUUAGGAGGACAUGCAUUGACCAACUUACAAAUAGACAAGAUUUUCCUCCUUUUUUCUGUACUGCCAGCCAUACAGUUAUUAUCAUGUGGUUUGGUUGGGGAGAAUUCUGCAGACAGUAAAGUUUCUCAUGACUCUGCCAAUUCAAGCAACUCCCAUCCAGGGAAUGGGAAUGGUAAUAUUUUGGACCAAGAUAAUAUCUUGCUGAAGAAGUCCAGCGCAAGUGCUACAAGAAGAAAGAGGAGCCAAAAGAAUAGCAACAAGAGGGCAAGUAUGAGAACUAAAUCCCUGAUACCUGAGAAGGGCAAUUCCUUAAUAUCACGUUGGUUCCACUCUCUGAAAACAGCUACUUACAGUUUGUUACGUACUUUUAGGCAGCCAAUCAUUUUGAGGUAACGACCAAAACCUUUUAUAAUAGCCAGUUGAAUAUUCUGUAGAAUUUGAAGUUCAUGUGUAUGUACGCUCCUCCUCUAGAUUUAGCAUUGUUAGCCACCCAAAGAGAUGAUUGUUUUCACUUUGAUAUUAAAUAUAUGAUUGUCAAUGAUCCAUAAUAGACCACAGAAUGAAUGCUUGAUUUAUUUGAAUUUUGCCAGAUUUGUUUCCACCUAUUGUAGGUGUAUAUGCUGCUUAAUAUACCUACCCUGGUAUCAAUUUAGUUUAUUCUUCUAAUCUAUUUGAUUUUGGGUUUUACUUUGGUCUUUGGAAGACCAGACCAAUGGCUUGGUUUUUCCUAGCACAGAUUACUGUUCCAAACCUCUCAACAGUCAUGUUCUAUUACCAGACAGAGGUCUUGAACUUGGAUGGAUCCUUUUUGGGGACUGCACGUGUUGUUGGAUGGUUAGGCCUCAUGCUAGGAACCUUCACGUACAAUCGCUACUUAAAAACCAUGAAACUACGGAAGAUUCUCUUGUGAGUGCUUAACAGCGUUGAGUACAUUUUUCAACAAACAUGUUUAUUCUACUUAAUGUGCUUAAUAUUGCUUAUGCAGGUGGGCUCAUGUUGGGCUGUCUUUGUUGACCCUCCUAGAUGUAAUUUUAGUGUCUCGAUUGAAUCUUGCCUAUGGAGUUUCAGAUAAGAUCAUGGUUGUCUCAGGAUCUGCCCUUGCCGACGCUGUUAAUCAAUUCAAGCACGUUCAUUUUCUCCAAAGUUUCUAGCUUUUCUAUUAAUUUAUUUUGAAGUCAAUACCUGUAUCCCCCUCAAAACAAAGAAAAAGGAGACUCGAUUUUGGAUUCCGGAUCCAGAAAUCACAUGCAAGCUCUCAUAAGGAAAAAAGAAAAUCAUAUGCGUGAUGUUCAUGAAUGUAUGGAUGAGCUCACACAGACGCAUACACGCUCUCAUGCACCCAUAAGUCACUCCUCACAUAACCUAUCUGUCCAUAAAUCUUUAAAUGCACCCCCAACCAAUCUGUGUGCUCACAUUUCUGGUCUGUCUCUGCAGGUUAAUGCCAUUCCUUAUAUUAUCUGGGCAGUUAUGUCCGCCAGGAAUUGAAGGAACACUAUUUGCCCUCUUUAUGUCUAUAAACAACUUAGGUUCCACACUGGGAUCUUUUGUGGGUGCAGGGUUGGCCUCAGUUUUGAACCUCUCCUCGGGAUCUUUUGACAACCUUGGUUUGGGCAUUGCUAUGCAAGUCCUGUGCACUUUCAUUCCAAUUGCUUUUCUAUUUUUGAUACCAAAAGAAGCCACAGGGAUAUCAGCAUAGGCAGGGAUGAUUCAUUUGCCUGAUACAAGAAGUUACUCACUUAGUAACGGCAAAAUGAGCAGAAACAUUGCUACUGAAUUUAUUUUGUCACUGUCAAGUAGUAGCUGGAAUAUACGAAAUGCACUCUUGAGGAUUGAAAGAAAUGGGUGCCUUUGAUUUAUAGUUCGAUACACUAAUGUACAAGGUUUGUAGAACAAUUUUGCUCAGUUCAAUCAGAAAUACAGAAAUUAUUACUGGUGCAGUGUUUAUGGAAAGCGAGGGUCAGGUUGCUAUCCCUGUGAUCUAUAGCGUUGUUGUUUAGAUUUUGAUCAGGUUUAGUUGUUGUUCGAACAUGUUUUUCUGUUGGUUUUGAAAGUAAAUUCACUUUAAAAUUAUGUCUUUCAUGUUUUUAUCUUAGAUAUGAAUUUUGAGUUAUUAUUAACACUCUGCAAGAAACAUGGUGCGGAACAAAUGUUAAAUCUUGUUUGUUUUUGUAUGUUUUUUUGUAUUUUAAAAAUGUUUUUUAAAAAAUGUAUUUUUUUAUUUUAAAUUAAUAUUUUUUAAUGUUUUCAAAUCAUUUCUAAACACUUUGUUUUUUAAAAAUAUUUUUAAAAAAAUAUAUUUUUUUUAUUUUAAAUUAAUAUUUUUUUGAUAUUUUCAAAUCAUUUCUAAACACUGAUAUUAAAAAUAAUUUUUUAAAAUAAAAAAAUAUUAUUUUGAUGCAUUUUCAAGUGAAAAUUAAUUACAACCACACUUCAAACGUGAUCUUAGUUUUGUUUUUAUUAUUAUUAUUUUUUACAUUAAAUGGUAGUUGAAAGCUAAUUUAAUUUUUUCUGAUGUACUAGAUUCACACGAGGGUCUAUUCUAGAAUUUGUUUUAGAAAAUAUUUAACCUCAGUUAUUCAUAAGCUAAUCUAAAGACAUGCAGGAAUCCCGUAUAUGUGGAGGUUUAUUGAAUUAAAUUAAAAUUAAAUUAAAUAAACUAAAAAACUAGAAGUGAAGGUGAAGUUCUUGUACCGAAGAGACAUUUCUGUAUUAAUUGGAUCAGUGAAAUGAUAAAACUUUUCUGUAUUAAUUGAAUUAAAAAAAAACUGUCAGCACGCGAGAAUUACAAAUUGAAAUGGUUCACACAAAUGGCAAGAAAUUAAAUGCAGAAAAUAAAAGGAGGGACCUCGUUGCAAAUAAAAAAAAUAGUAGGAGGGCGAUUAAACAAAAAGGCUUCAAGAGCGGAGGAAGCUACUCAACUAUCAGAGCCUGGUUUCGAUCCAGGGACCUGUGGGUUAUGGGCCCACCACGCUUCCGCUGCGCCACUCUGAUUGUUGAAUACAAGUUGUAUCAGAAGUUAUAUAAUCUAAGUCUAAGACAAAGUUCGGUUCUGAUCUCUUUAUUCAUCUUCUUCGGCUCUGUCUCUCUUUCCCUUCCUGCACCAACACCAUAAAAAAAUUGCUAGGAAAACAAUUCACAACUUUGAUCAGAACCCACAAAAGAUAUCAAUCAAAGAAGCAGUCUUUAAUAAAAACGGGAAUGAGAAGGAGACCUGGUAUUGGUGGGUUACAAACAGCAGCUGCUGCAAGGGUAACUACUGUUUCUUCUGUUGGAUUGAUUCAUCGGUUUCCAUUUGGUUAUUUAUUAAUGCUCAAUAUAAACAGUUUCCGAGUUUUUGCUUUUCAUUUCUUGAAAUGGUAUUGAAG
rnacentral:lncRNA from 1 species